GAUGAACGCUGGCGGCGUGCCUAAUACAUGCGAGUCGAGCGAACAGACGAGGAGCUUGCUCCUCUGACGUUAGCGGCGGACGGGUGAGUAACACGUGGAUAACCUACCUAUAAGACUGGGAUAACUUCGGGAAACCGGAGCUAAUACCGGAUAAUAUAUUGAACCGCAUGGUUCAAUAGUGAAAGACGGUUUUGCUGUCACUUAUAGAUGGAUCCGCGCCGCAUUAGCUAGUUGGUAAGGUAACGGCUUACCAAGGCAACGAUGCGUAGCCGACCUGAGAGGGUGAUCGGCCACACUGGAACUGAGACACGGUCCAGACUCCUACGGGAGGCAGCAGUAGGGAAUCUUCCGCAAUGGGCGAAAGCCUGACGGAGCAACGUCGCGUGAGUGAUGAAGGUCUUCGGAUCGUAAAACUCUGUUAUUAGGGAAGAACAAAUGUGUAAGUAACUAUGCACGUCUUGACGGUACCUAAUCAGAAAGCCACGGCUAACUACGUG
rnacentral:rRNA from 1 species